rnacentral:rRNA from 1 species
GUAGGUGGCAAGCGUUGUCCGGAAUUAUUGGGCGUAAAGCGCGCGCAGGCGGUUCUUUAAGUCUGAUGUGAAAGCCCACGGGCUCAACCGUGGAGGGUCAUUGGAAACUGGAGAACUUGAGUACAGAAGAGGAAAGCGGAAUUCCACGUGUAGCGGUGAAAUGCGUAGAGAUGUGGAGGAACACCAGUGGCGAAGGCGGCUUUCUGGUCUGUAACUGACGCUGAGGCGCGAAAGCGUGGGGAGCAAACAGGAUUAGAUACCCUGGUAGUCCACGCCGUAAACGAUGAGUGCUAAGUGUUAGGGGGUUUCCGCCCCUUAGUGCUGCAGCUAACGCAUUUAGCACUCCGCCUGGGGAGUACGGCCGCAAAGGCUG